GGGCGGAGACGAGGAAGUGGGUGCGAGGCGCGGGGCGCAGGCCGUGCGCGCGCCGCCCGCUCCAUCCCUGCCCGGAGCGCAGCCAGCGCGGGCGCGGGACCGAGGCGAACCGGGUGCGGAGCCAACGCCCGCGGCAGCAGCACCAGCUCCUGCCCUCCACUGACUCCAGAGAGGGAGAUCCCCAAUACUUGACUCCAUCACGCAGAUGGGAGCGGGCACCAGCUAUGGAGAGGGAUACAGCUGUGUCUCCACAUGACCCAUCCUGCAUGACACCAAAGCCACCGCCAGACAGUGCCUCGGAUUCUAUGCAAAACCUGGGGAGCAGAGACCUACCCCAGUCCCGGGAAGAAGCUAGCUCUGCAGGGGAUCAUCUGAGGACUGGAGUUUGAUCCAUGAACCUGGCUUCAAGGCUUUGCUUUUCUCUAUUCUUCAUUCAUAUUCAUUCCCAACACCUUAGAAGGUGUUGCUUAAUUUAUUUCUAGAAAAGCAGCCCAGAGUCAGUCACUGAAGCCUCUUCCCUACCCCCCGGCCAAAAAAAAGAAAAAAUUGGACACAUUUUGGCUCUGUUGGGAGCCUGGAGUCCAGUGGUUGGCAUAAUUGUCACAUUGGGAGCGGAGAAGAAGCAGCCAGGGGCCCUGGUCAGGGGACCGAGCCAUAGGGCCCCAGCAUGGCACCCAAUGGCACAGCCUCUUCCUUUUGCCUGGACUCUACUGCCUGCAAGAUCACCAUCACCGUGGUCCUUGCGGUCCUCAUCCUCAUCACCAUUGCUGGCAAUGUGGUCGUCUGUCUGGCCGUGGGCUUGAACCGCCGGCUCCGCAACCUGACCAACUGCUUCAUCGUGUCCUUGGCUGUCACUGACCUGCUCCUUGGCCUCCUGGUGCUGCCCUUCUCUGCCAUCUACCAGCUGUCCUGCAAGUGGAGCUUUGGCAAGGUCUUCUGCAAUAUCUACACCAGCCUGGAUGUGAUGCUCUGCACAGCCUCCAUUCUCAACCUCUUCAUGAUCAGCCUCGACCGGUACUGCGCUGUCAUGGACCCACUGCGGUACCCUGUGCUGGUCACCCCGGUUCGGGUCGCCAUCUCUCUGGUCUUAAUUUGGGUCAUCUCCAUUACCCUGUCCUUCCUGUCUAUCCACCUGGGGUGGAACAGCAGGAGCGAGACCAGCAAGGGUAAUCAUACCACCUCUAAGUGCAAAGUCCAGGUCAAUGAAGUGUACGGGCUGGUGGAUGGGCUGGUCACCUUCUACCUACCGCUGCUGAUCAUGUGCAUCACCUACUACCGCAUCUUCAAGGUCGCCCGGGACCAGGCCAAGAGGAUCAAUCACAUUAGCUCCUGGAAGGCAGCCACCAUCAGGGAGCACAAAGCCACAGUGACACUGGCUGCCGUCAUGGGGGCCUUCAUCAUCUGCUGGUUUCCCUACUUCACCGCGUUUGUGUACCGUGGGCUGAGAGGGGAUGAUGCCAUCAAUGAGGUGUUAGAAGCCAUCGUUCUGUGGCUGGGCUAUGCCAACUCAGCCCUGAACCCCAUCCUGUAUGCUGCGCUGAACAGAGACUUCCGCACCGGGUACCAGCAGCUUUUCUGCUGCAGGCUUGCCAACCGCAACUCCCACAAAACUUCUGUGAGGUCCAACGCCUCUCAGCUGUCCAGGACCCAAAGCCGAGAACCCAGGCAACAGGAAGAGAAACCCCUGAAGCUCCAGGUGUGGAGUGGGACAGAAGUCACAGCCCCCCAGGGAGCCACAGACAGAGAGUUUGGGGAGUGAGAGCCCCUCCCACUCCUGGAGAGGAAGUCAGGGGAAGGAGAGCAGAGAGGAGGUGGGAAGCCCUUUACAGCCACAAAAGUCAAGGAGAAUAAAUCGUGGCCCCCCAGGAGUCACUGAAAGGAAGCCAGCACUGUCCUGCACUACGUGCUCCAGCAACCUCCUGAGCUGCUGCAAGAGCCUGUGGGGGCUCAGGUUCCUUCAGAGACACAUGGGAGGCCCCUCGGAGGAGCCAUCGGGGGAGCCACUGUCUGAGGAGCCACAGAAGAGACCUCCCCAGAAAGCAGUGAGGACGCUGCCCUCUGAGGCUGUCUAGACCUAGCCCCAGGACACUGAAGAUACUGCUCCUGGUCCCCAAGAUGUGACUCCUGGAGCUCCUAAGGACCCAGUCUCCAAAGCCACCAAGGACUCACCCUGGACUGAGUCGGGGGGCUCCCGGAACACACAGUUGGGUGUGGGGUCCUCAGGCCUAGGGCGGAACAGCCUAUUCUGUGCUCAGCAUUCCCAGACAGGCACACAAGACUCCUCUGGGCCCGAGUGGGCUGAAUCCCAUGGGUUCAAAGCCCAUGUUGGUGCUGGCCCUGGGAGUCAUGAGCAGAGACGGUUGGACAGACGGGGAUGCAUGCACAUGUGUGUGCAUGGGUGCGUAUGUGUAGGAAUGUGCAUGUCCUCUGAGCAAGGCAGAGGGUAUUGCAAGAAAGCAUUGGUCUCUCACUCCCUCUUGGGUUCUGCAGGAUGAAGGAAAGGAAAGGUAAAGAUAGAGACAGGAAGGAAAUAGCUUUUCAUGAGCACCUACUGUGUACCAGGUGCUUCCCUGGCAUGAGCUCUUGUAACCCUUAUAGCAACAUGAGUUUACAGCAAGACUCACCACACCAACUUUACAGAGAUGGAAACUGAGGCUCAGAGAAGUAAGGGACCUACCCAAGGCCACUCAGCACCUAGAAAGUGUGCCUAGCACAUAGGAGGCAUACAAAAAUAUUUGUUGAAUGGGUGAAUGAAUGAAAGGAUGGGUGAAAAGCCAGGCCUCAAACCCACACCGCUGACACUGCACUACACCGCCUCUCAGAAGAGAGGGCAAAUAUUUCCUUGACUCAGCCACCUUCCUCCUAGCAAGGCUUAGACCUCCAGGCCGUGGGGGUCCCUUCCUGCUAGAGUAUGACCCUCUCUGGUGCUUGUCAUCAAGAAGUGGUGUGCGGCGGACUUGCUGGGGAGAGUGUCUGCAGCCAGGCUUCACGGAGGGAGGAAUGGAGCUUGAGGGACUGUAAUGGUUGUGAAUGGAGUUGGCCCCCAGCACUCUCUGGUGGCCGUAUGACCUUGGGCACGUCUCCUGACCACUCUAAGCAGCUUUUGAUUCUCCUGUCCAAGAAGGUAGGCCCCCUGUUCCUAUUCACAGGAUCCAUAAAGUGUCUCAAAGAGACAGGAUAGUGCCAGCCCCAGAGAGAGGGGGCUGUGGAGGGACUUCUGCCCCCAAGGCUUCUCAGUGGCAUCUCCCGGCUGGCCCCUGACACUCAAUCUUCCUUGGUUUCCAAGAUGCCUCGUGGUCUUCCCCCUCCCUAACAUCCCUGACCUCCCUUUUCUGUCCCUUUUGCAACUCAUUGUCCUCUAGCUGCCAUCAGAUGUGGCUGUUCCCCAAGCUCAGUCCGGAGUCCUCUCUUCUCACUCAGCAUCUCUCCCCCUGUGACCUUGUCUGCACUCACAACUCCAGUUACAAGGCACAAGGUUCGGUUACGAAAUCCCUCACAGAUUUAUAACUGCAGGCUUGGCUCCUUCCGGGAGCUUGAGACCCACUGCCGCCUCCGCAACACCUCCACCUGGGAGUUUCAGAGGCGUUCUCCCUCAGCGUGUCUGCAGCUGCGUGCCUGCCUUCCCCCUGCAUCUGCCCUGCUCCCCAGGUCCCCUUCUCAGACCAAAGCCUGCCCGGGCUUCACAGGCUGAGGGUCCACCUUGCCACCUCCCUUUGCCUCGGUCCUCAUGGAGCCCUGGCUCCACCAUCUGCUGGCUUCUCCCCAUCUACUCUGUGUCACUCCAUCUGACCACCAUUGUCUCCAUCAGGACAGUUGGAACACCUCUUAGCACUCUCGCCCCCACCCAGUCCACCCUCCACCCGACAGCCAGAGUGAGCCAUGCUAGAUGCAAUCCAGGUCAUGCCACACAGCUGAAUAAAAUCAUCUUCAGCCCGGCCCUCAGGCCCUGUGUGCUUGGACCCUGCUGGGCCCUCUCCAGCCUCCCCCUGCACCAGGCCUCCUCUACAACUUCACUCUGACCCUGCUGUUCUUUUCCUUUUAGUUUGAUUAACUCGCUUUGCCCAUUCCAUGCUCAAAGCUGUUUCCACAACAAAAGGCUCCUCCUGCCCAUUUUAGUGCCCUGAGAUGUCAUUUCCUUGAGGAAGUCUUCCUUGGCCCUUCACACCAGGCCAGGCCCCUGCCACACCCCUCAGAGCUCUCCUUGGAAGGCACUGGCAUGGCUGUUGGUGUGAUUCCUUGAACAUUGUCUGUCUCUCCUCCUCACGAGGCUGUGGGUCCUGUCUGUUUCUGGUGCCCGUUGUCUGUCUAACCCCUGCAGGAGAGUUUGUCAUAUGGUAGGAGCUUAAUAAAUGUGUGUUGGAUGAAUGAGCAGAGAAAAGAGAGUGCAGAGAGUGGACAAAACAGAUGCUUUCAGCAGUGUAUCUGCCAAUAAACCUAAAGGCAUGAUUUGCCCUGGUGACCCCCAGAGGUGCUUAGUCUCUUGGCUGAAUUCCUUCUGGAAUCCCCAGAACCCCCUCCUUGGAAGUUUUCCCAGGAGUCUGAGGCAGGCAGGUCUCCCAGUCAUGGCCACAUGACCUCGAGUGAAAACAAACCAGUCUGGCUGUUCACAGACUCAGCUGGUCAGAGCUCUGGCCCGAGGGGCCGACGCACCACCUGCCACUGCAGAAGACGCCUCCACGUCUGUCUCUGGGCUGCCUCCGCCUUCUGCAGGCCUCCUGGAGCCUCUGCUGGCUGCAGAAGUGGGGUGCAUGCUGCCUGGAGGAGGAACAUCUGUGGUGGGACCCCAAAUCCAUGUUUGUGUUACCAUCGUGUUCCAAUAAAACUAUCGAAACAGA